GGACUACCCGGGUAUCUAAUCCUGUUUGCUUCCCACGCUUUCGCGUCUCAGUGUCAGUCUUUGCCCAGAGAGCCGCCUUCGCCCCUGGUGUUCCUCCCGAUAUCUACGAAUUUCACCUCUACACCGGGAAUUCCGCUCUCCUCUUCAAGACUCCAGUGAAACAGUAUCGAAUGCCCUUCCCGGGUUGAGCCCAGGGCUUUCACAUCCGACUGAUCCCACCACCUACUCGCGCUUUACGCCCAGUAAUUCCGAGCAACGUUCGCACCCUCUGUCUUACCGCGGCUGCUGGCAC
rnacentral:rRNA from 1 species